CUAAGGUGAUCCUUCAGCGAGCUUCGGCUCACUAUCGGAUCGUUUUAGAAACAUCAGUGGCCAACAAUCGUCAGGAUUGUUGAGCUGCAUUGGCGGGAUUUCGCCGUCUUCGUUUCUCUUUCUUCGCGGACGAACACGCGCUGGGGCUGCAAGUUUGCAGAGUCCCUGGUCCUUGACUGGAUAUGCGUUAGGGGCUUGUAGCUCAGUUGGUUAGAGCGCGCGCUUGAUAAGCGUGAGGUCGGAAGUUCAAGUCUUCCCAGGCCCACCACUUUCAUCGAGUGAGCAUUCGUCUUCUGGUUACGGGGCCAUAGCUCAGCUGGGAGAGCGCGUGCUUUGCAAGCAUGAGGUCGUCGGUUCGAUCCCGUCUGGCUCCACCAGAUGGUUUGAUCAUCGACUGAUCGUGCACCUAAAUCGUCCGCGAAACAUCACUUCGCAUCUUGCUAGUCUGGAUAGACAGCAAGUUGCGUGAUUUCUGACAUCGUAAAGAGGAGAUCGAUCCGAGUUGGAUCGUGCAGCAAGCAAUUGCUACGCGAGACUUCAUUAUCUCCGGAUCAUUUCGGCGCUCGUGCGUCUUUCAAGGGCAGCUCACAAGGCUGCUUCUGGAGAGACAAGCGAGUUGUAAAUGAUCCUUUUAGCGAAGCUUGACCGCCUCGCUAUCGGAACGAUCUUACGAAGCAAGCUGGUCUUUCUAAUCAUUGUCCGGCUGCAGAUAGCGUUCAUCGAGGGCGCGUGCCGCAAGGUAAUUCUGCAGACAACAUUCUGCCGAGUGUGUGGACAUUGAUAAUGAGAGCAAUCAAGUGCCUUAAGGGUGUUCGGUGGAUGCCUUGGCGCUGAGAGGCGAUGAAGGACGUGCUACGCUGCGAUAAGCCG
rnacentral:misc_RNA from 1 species